rnacentral:rRNA from 1 species
AGUCGAACGGUAAGGCCCUUCGGGGUACACGAGUGGCGAACGGGUGAGUAACACGUGGGUAAUCUGCCCUGCACAUCGGGAUAAGCCUGGGAAACUGGGUCUAAUACCGGAUAGGACCACAGAACACAUGUCCUGUGGUGGAAAGCUUUUGCGGUGUGGGAUGGGCCCGCG